AAGUCUCAAUGUUUAAGGAAAAAAGAUUUAGAAAUAGUGCUUUUUAAAAGUUUGAUGGAAAAACACAUGAGUUCCUGCUGGUGCAUUUUACAUGCUUUCUAGGUCCUUCUGAGUUUUAGAAUCCUGAGGGAUUUGGUUGGUAUUGUUUUUGGGUUUUCUUCUUGAAACUCAGUAUUAAAACACUGAAAAGUAGCAGAUUUUUUACUACGUAGAGUUUUCUGUUUAUCUAUAAUGAGCCCAAAUAAAGUCACAAUUGUAUGUUACCUGCUUUACAGAGAAGCCAUUUAUGUUUAAUUGACUGUUCAUUUUGCUUUCUUGUCUGCUGGGAUGACAACCAUGAAAUUCAGUCUGGUAGUUUUUAUGAGUUGGACAUGAACCUAUUAGAAAUGAUUUAAAGUAUAAAAUCAUUUCUCACAGGCUUUCAAAACAUAAACCUGUGAUCAGAAACCUGGAAUCUAGAAAUUUAUUCAGGACUUGCAGAAUUUGUAGCAUGUCUACAUUAUUGGAGAUCUAUUGAAAGGGCAAGAAAAAGAUGAUUGCCUGUUAGUAUCAACAGUUAUGGUACAGACAACUAUGAGAGAAACCAUUUAGAUUUGGCAGCUGUAUCAUUAAUAAUGUGUCAUUGGCUAUUCUAAUAUUACAGUAAUCUAAAAUGGCAUAUUAAUCCAGCCUUUAACAAAUUGGUUUACCAGAUCAUUAGGGAUGCAGAAAUUUUAGUUGACUGUGAAAUCUGUAUGAGUCAUACUCAUUUACUUUAUUCUUCUUAAGUGAAAACUACUCUUAGAGAAAACAAAAUGAGUUUAUAAAGGUUUCUCACAGAGUUCAGUGGAAAACAGGUUUACUGUAAGAGAGAGUUUAAUGAAGAAGAAUCAAAGCUUAUUAAAUUUUUCUUAGAAUCAUUUUAUUUUGGAUAAGCCCAGGGCAAGUGGGCCAGUGCUUACUUUCAUGGCUAUGUUUAAUUCCUAGAAACAUUUUAAAAUUACUGCCUUACUAAUAUUGUUUCUGUCAUAAGAAAGAAAAAUAAUUUUUAGACCAAAGCUUUGAUAGUAUACUUGAUAACCUUUGUAAUCUUUUUUUUUUUCAAACUGUUUCCUUUGGGCUAAAUCAGCAUGCAGCCGUCUAACGCAAAUCAUUACAAACCCCCUUUUCUGAGAUUUUACUAAUCGCUAUGAACUAAGCAAGAAAUUAAAGUCGGUUGCUUUAACUACUGCAAAUUGCACAUCAUCCUGUAGUUUAGAAUUAUUAUUGACAACUAGAGGUUCUUUCUUUCUUCACUGAACAGUUUGGAGACUCCCAGCAACUGCGACUGGUCCGGAUCCUGCGGAGUACUGUGAUGGUUCGUGUUGGAGGUGGAUGGAUGGCACUUGAUGAGUUCUUAGUGAAAAAUGAUCCUUGCAGGGCCAAAGGAAGGACAAACAUGGAACUGCGUGAGAAGUUCAUUUUAGCAGACGGUGCCAGCCAGGGUAUGGCUGCUUUCCGACCCCGAGGCCGAAGAUCCCGGCCGUCAUCACGAGGCGCUUCACCCAACAGAUCCACUUCUGUGUCCAGUCAGGCUGCACAGGCGGCCUCCCCACAGGUCCCUGCCACCACCACACCCAAGAUUCUCCAUCCUUUAACACGCAAUUAUGGUAAACCAUGGUUGACAAACAGCAAAAUGUCAACUCCUUGUAAAGCAGCAGAGUGCUCAGACUUUCCCGUGCCAUCUGCAGAGGGAACGCCAAUACAAGGAAGCAAGCUUCGACUUCCAGGAUAUUUAUCAGGGAAAGGCUUCCACUCUGGGGAGGACAGCGGCUUGAUAACAACUGCAGCUGCCAGAGUCCGAACACAGUUUGCUGAUUCCAAGAAGACUCCCAGCCGACCAGGAAGUCGAGCUGGAAGCAAAGCUGGCAGCAGGGCCAGCAGCCGCCGAGGCAGUGAUGCAUCAGACUUUGACAUUUCAGAAAUCCAGUCCGUGUGCUCAGAUGUGGAAACUGUCCCCCAGACACACAGACCUACACCCCGAGCAGGUUCUCGGCCAUCCACAGCGAAGCCUUCAAAAAUCCCCACGCCCCAGAGGAAAUCACCUGCCAGCAAAUUGGACAAGUCCUCAAAGAGAUAGUGCAAUUGGUUCUACCAAGGCCCUUCCUUGAGCAUUUAUUAUUUAAGUUUGAACGAUGUAAAAUAUGGUGUAGAAAUUCUUGUGAAAUACUGCAAGAGGCGAGUUUAAAAUUCUGCAGAUGGCCUUAUUUGUGUAUUUGUCUUUUUAUUUUAUCUGUAUAAUUUUUUGGUCAGAUAUUCUGGGGUUAAAGUCACAUCAUAUGUGAGGAGGAAAAGUUUAACAUGAACUAACAUUUCUGCACUGUAACGUGCAGGGCACACACUAAACUCAGUUACUGUACCUACAGGUAAGUCUACAUCCUCUCUGACAGCCACAGCACUACAUCAAUCCCUGACGUUAGGGAUACCUCAUGAUAUUUUCCUGUUUUUAUGGAAACUCUGAGAAGCUGAAUGAUACAUGCAGGGGAUAUUUUUUGAGAUGAUUUAAAUGUAAACCGAAAGAUGGAAGACAGAAAGACAAACACAGCCACACACAGUCUUUGCAGUAUCUGACAGAGAACUCACAGGAAGUUACUUCAAGCACUUGCCAGUACUAUGAUAUUCAAGUACCUUGCAGCAUUUCUGUGCCAUUGCUUUCAAUGAGGCCAGAGGCAUCCUGGAUAUUAGACCUAUUAUACUGUAAGAAUAUAAGUAUAAAGUGCAUUCAUAUACAUGUGAGGUUUUCUUUUGCUUGAGUGGACAGUAGCACCUGUAUCAUUGAACUCAUUUUGUAUCAGAGCAAUUUUGCUUGCAGAAAGCUAUGAAAUAAAACACGUCCCUU
rnacentral:sRNA from 1 species